AUGAUACGAAAACGGGGAGAAACAGUGAGGAAGUACGGAAAUUAUUUACUAUUUAAUGAUACGAAAACGGGGAGAAACGGGGAGAGGCUUCCCGGCCCCGGGCAUAAUGGCGAGUGUGGACUGCAUCCAGCGCAGUCUUGUCCCGGCCGUUGUUGUGGCUAAGUGAGUGUUCUUGCGUCGGUCUUAUUUUCGAUGGUGUUUUUCAGUUUGUGAGGGAUGGAGAGGCUAAAUGCACUUGCCAUGAUUUCAAUAGAGAAGAUUUCUAUGAAUAAUAUGCCAGGUUUAAAUGAAAAAGUUAUUGAUCUGUUAGCACAAAACAGGAACAGGAGAAUGGACUUCCUUUUCAAAUAGCCUAAGCCACCACUAAGGAAGUCAAGCAUUUACUGUUAGGAUAAGACCUAAAGAAUUAAUUAAUUAUCUGUUUAUCUUUAUAAUCUAUCAAUCAAUGGUAUGUUAAACAAUAACAAUAAAAGCAUUUAAUAUUUUAUUUGUGUGAAUGUGAGACAGCCCCCCCCAUCAGUAACAGUCACGAGCCGCCAUUGAGCCUAUGUUGAGUUAAUCAGCCUAUUCUAACUCAUUUAUUUAUUUCUUGUUUAGCACCACAGAAAACGGAAUGCAUGGGCACUUUCCACAGAUUUUUGUGUUCAUCUCACCUCUCCACUUUUCAUAGGCCUGGGUGCUGUUGCAGUAGGCCUAUGUAUAUCAAGAUGGGAGGGAGGGGAGGAGGAGAGGGGUAACAAGUGUAACAAGUGUAACCUCCCCUGUGUGUUAGGUUAGGUCAGCUUAGGUCACACCGUAAUGACCUGUCCGAUGUUGCAGAUGGCAGUGGUCACGCAGCAGCUGACCCCACAGCAGGCCGCCCUCUCCUGUGACCCCCCGACCACCGCCACCACCACCACUGCCAGAAAGAGAGAGGGGACAGAGGGAAAGGUCACCUAACUGUCAGAUGGGUCCUCUCAAGAAUCACAAUCAACUGCAAGUGGGAAGAGGAGGAGGAGGAGGAGGAGGAGGAGGAGGAGGAGGAAGGAUAAUUCUUCCUAUCAAAUUACUGAUGUUAUUGAUGAAGAUACAGUCAAGAGGCACGCAGAAGGGGUGAAGGAGCCACAGGAGGAGGUGACGAGUGGCCCAACCUAAGCUUUUCAGAAAUGGAGUCUUGAGAAUUUACCAGCUAGAUGGGUUUUCUUGGUUACUGACACUUUACGAGAACAGGAUCAACUUAAUUCUGGGAGACGAGAUAGGCCUGGGCAAGACUGUUCAGUUUAUCACCUUGGUGUGUCAUUUGGUGGAGCAGGGAGUGGCCGGGCCCUUCCUGGUGUGUGCCCUAUCCCCACGCUGCCAAACUGGAUGGCUGAGUGGCCAUCAGGGACAUGAGGGCUCUCCAGCAAUACGCCUGGAGAUAUUUGUGUGUGGACGAGGGACACAGACUCAAGAACCACAAGUGUAGGCUGACCAAGUCCCUGAACACCUUACCCCCCAUGAACCAACUGCUGCUGACUGGGACACCCUUACAGAACAGCGUGGCAGAGCUCUGGGCCCUUCUGAACUUCCUAAUGCCGGAUAUUUUUUGAUUCCCUUGAUGUUUUUGAGUCCUGGUUCAACGUCCUAUCACUCCAAUCCCUCCUCAGGAUCCCCCUAAGCGAAGGUGCCUCUGGCAUUUUGCCUCUGCUAGUUGGGGGGACCUGAGGAGGUAUUUUGCUGAUUUUCCUUGGAAUGACUACUGCUUCCGUGUCAGAGAGCCGUCUUUGUGUGCUGAGCGCAUAACAGAGGUGAUAGUGUCUGGCAUGGAGGCGUACAUUCCUCACUCUUUUUCUCGUCCUAAACCUUCCAGAUCUUUGUUUAACACAGCUUGUUCUCGUGCUAUACAUGAUAGAGAGGUGGCCCACAAAAGGUACUUAAGCCUUUCUUCACCAGAAUCUCAUGCACUUUAUAUUUCUGCCUGGAACCAUGCCAAGUCUGUUCUCCAACUAGCCAAAAACUCCUUCAUUAACAGAAAAUGUCAAAACCUUUCAAGAUCUAACUCCCCUCGUGACUUCUGGCAUCUAGCCAAAAAUAUCUCCAAUAACUUUGCUUCUUCUUCUUUCCCUCCUCUGCUUCAACCAGAUGGCACCACUGCUAUCACAUCUAUCUCUAAAGCUGAACUCUUUGCUCAAACCUUUGCUAAAAACUCUACCUUGGACAAUUCUGGGCUUGUUCCUCCCUCUCCUCCACCCUCUGACUACUUCAUGCCACCUAUUAAAAUUCUUUGCAGUGAUGUUUUCCAUGCCCUCGCUGGCCUAAACCCUCAGAAGGCUUAUGGACCUGAUGGGGUCCCUCCUAUUGUUCUCCGAAACUGUGCCUCUGUGCUUGCACCUUGCCUAGUCAAACUCUUUCAGCUCUUUUGUUC